AACAGAUCCUAGACCAGGAGCCAGCAGGGCUCAUUGGGCUUUAAACUAGGAAAUGUGACUGGAAUAAGAAGAGUUUGGGUCAUUUGAAGCCUGGUAUAUUUCUACGUAUUAGAUGCAAUAUUCUCAACCAAACUUCAAGGACCUGACACACAGGACCAAGAGACAGGAUUACAACAGAUGAUGUCUUUCACAGUGAAGAGAACCACUGAUUGGCUUCCAACUUGGCCAUUUUCUUUUCCACAAAAUAUGCCACUAAGGAGUCUGAGUCAAAAAAACAAGGACUGGAUAAUACAUGCUGUGCUAACUGCUAGAGAGCUUAAGUAGUUAACUAUGAGAGCAGGGUGAUGCACCAAAAGCCUAUAACCCUGUAUUUUGUUCUCAACUAGUGCUGUUGAAAUAAAUAUAUAUGUGUAUACUUUGUUUUUUAAUUGAACUUACCCAGUUGUGACUACAAUAUUAUUUUUUUUUCUGAGACUACACGAUCCAAAAUGCCCAGGUAUGUAGAAUUCAUUCGAAUUAUGCAACCACCAUGGAAUCUCUAUAAACAUUAAUACAAUAUGUGAUAACUUUAUUCCUUUCCUUUCUUCCCUCUCCCCUUCCCCCUUUUCCCUUUUCUUCCUGGACAAGAUCUGCUUCUAUGCUUCAAUGCUCAGUCUAGUUUUGAAGCAGCUGAAGUGGUUGCUAAUAGCAGAACUUCUACUAUUUGAUCCAGCUUUGUUUUUGUAUAUAACUGUGGUGGUUUUACUCAGCUGAGCAUAUGAACUACAUCUGCUCUCUUACUUCCUCACCUCAAAGGGAAAAGGGGAGAAAAUAUGAUGAAAAGGGCUUCAAGGGUUGAGGUAAGGACAGGGAAAUCACUCAACACAUCACAGGCAAAACAGACUCAGUGUAGGUAGAUUAAUGUAACAUCCUAACAGACUAGAGUGGGGAGAACUAAAAACAGAAUAAGAACACCUUUCCCUCAUCCACUCUCUUCUACCUCCUCCCCCUGAGCAGCACAGGGGAAUGGGGAAUAUGUGCUGCAUUCAGUCCCUAACGCUUCAUCUCCACCAUUCCUUCACAGUCACACUCUUCCCCUGCUCCAGUGUGGGGUCCCUCCCACAGCAUGCCAUCCUUCCCAAACUGAUCCUGUGUGGCCUUCCCACAGGCAGCAGCUCUUC